GACAGAGGGUGCAACCGUUGUUCGGAAUUACUGGGCGUAAAGCGUGUGUAGGCGGCUAUGUAAGUCGGAUGUGAAAGCCCUGGGCUCAACCCAGGAAGUGCACUCGAUACUGCGUAGCUAGAGUACCGGAGAGGUUGGUGGAAUUCUCGGUGUAGAGGUGAAAUUCGUAGAUAUCGAGAGGAACACCGGUGGCGAAGGCGGCCAACUGGACGAGUACUGACGCUGAGACACGAAAGCGUGGGGAGCAAACAGG
rnacentral:rRNA from 1 species